rnacentral:misc_RNA from 1 species
CAACCCUCAAGCUCAGCUUGGUGUUGGGAUUCGUGGAGCAAUCCGCGGUCCCCAAAUUGAUUGGCGGUCACGUCGAGCUUCCAUAGCGUAGUAAUUUACACCUCGUUACUGGUAAUCGUCGCGGCCACGCCGUUAAACCCCAACUUCUGAA